UGCAAGUCGAACGCUUUUUCUUUCACCGGAGCUUGCUCCACCGAAAGAAAAAGAGUGGCGAACGGGUGAGUAACACGUGGGUAACCUGCCCAUCAGAAGGGGAUAACACUUGGAAACAGGUGCUAAUACCGUAUAACACUAUUUUCCGCAUGGAAGAAAGUUGAAAGGCGCUUUUGCGUCACUGAUGGAUGGACCCGCGGUGCAUUAGCUAGUUGGUGAGGUAACGGCUCACCAAGGCCACGAUGCAUAGCCGACCUGAGAGGGUGAUCGGCCACACUGGGACUGAGACACGGCCCAGACUCCUACGGGAGGCAGCAGUAGGGAAUCUUCGGCAAUGGACGAAAGUCUGACCGAGCAACGCCGCGUGAGUGAAGAAGGUUUUCGGAUCGUAAAACUCUGUUGUUAGAGAAGAACAAGGAUGAGAGUAGAACGUUCAUCCCUUGACGGUAUCUAACCAGAAAGCCACGGCUAACUACGUGCCAGCAGCCGCGGUAAUACGUAGGUGGCAAGCGUUGUCCGGAUUUAUUGGGCGUAAAGCGAGCGCAGGCGGUUUCUUAAGUCUGAUGUGAAAGCCCCCGGCUCAACCGGGGAGGGUCAUUGGAAACUGGGAGACUUGAGUGCAGAAGAGGAGAGUGGAAUUCCAUGUGUAGCGGUGAAAUGCGUAGAUAUAUGGAGGAACACCAGUGGCGAAGGCGGCUCUCUGGUCUGUAACUGACGCUGAGGCUCGAAAGCGUGGGGAGCGAACAGGAUUAGAUACCCUGGUAGUCCACGCCGUAAACGAUGAGUGCUAAGUGUUGGAGGGUUUCCGCCCUUCAGUGCUGCAGCAAACGCAUUAAGCACUCCGCCUGGGGAGUACGACCGCAAGGUUGAAACUCAAAGGAAUUGACGGGGGCCCGCACAAGCGGUGGAGCAUGUGGUUUAAUUCGAAGCAACGCGAAGAACCUUACCAGGUCUUGACAUCCUUUGACCACUCUAGAGAUAGAGCUUCCCCUUCGGGGGCAAAGUGACAGGUGGUGCAUGGUUGUCGUCAGCUCGUGUCGUGAGAUGUUGGGUUAAGUCCCGCAACGAGCGCAACCCUU
rnacentral:rRNA from 1 species